UACGGGGGGGGCAAGCGUUGUUCGGAAUUACUGGGCGUAAAGGGCUCGUAGGUGCCAACUAAGUCGGUACGUGAAAUCCCUGGCUUAACCGGGAACGUGCGUCCGAUACUGGUUGGCUUGAGUUUGGAGAGGGAUGCGGAUCAGGUGUAGGCGGUGAAAGUGACGUGAGAUAGUCGGAAGGAACGAUCAGUGGCGAAAGCGAAGCUUCCGA
rnacentral:rRNA from 1 species